rnacentral:lncRNA from 1 species
ACAGUCCUAAAAUAACCAAAUAUUUUGCUGGGUAAGUUUCAAACUCAUACAAGAGGCAUAGUGAUCAGUGUCUGGGAGAGAGGCUCGGCAAAAUAGACAUAAGGAUGAAGCUACUUUUGUGACAUUAACUUUAUCAACGAGAAGUACAAAGCGAAAGAUCAACAAAAUGGAGACAUUACAUAGUCAAGUGACUCCACAAUGUACAUGAGACCAUAAAAAAUUGUUUAUAUAUGGUUGCUGCAAUAGGAAUUUGUUGAUGGGAGUAAUAAUAUUUGGGGUCAUUUAUUAGCAGUGUAAACAAAAGGGGUUGACGGGGGUUUUUGGCAGUGAAAAAAUGUUAUCAUCAUCACUAUGAGUGAGCUCAUAUUGGCAGGAGGAGCUUGAUUAUAU